rnacentral:misc_RNA from 1 species
ACUUCAGUCAAUUCAAUACCUCGGGUACUAUCUACUUAUCCUAUUGUUUAGAUUCGUGAAGUCAUUGGACCAGUAGUCCAAUGAGUGCCUGUCUGAUAAUGCCAUAUUAGGGAGUCGAGCACCUUCUUCCCCUUACUGAACUUAAAAAAAAGUUUUUCUCCAUGAUACAGUCAACGAUUUUUGCUUAUGUUCCUUUUUUAAAGUGACAGGGAAGUUUCAUGAAUCUACAAUCUCAUAAGAAAAUGACCAUCAUCUCAACGUAGAAAGGAUUUACAUGGGAUAAAAUGGAAGGAUAAAGCAGUUAAAUAUUAGUUAAGUUUGGAAACUUGAUUAUCUGUGGUUUAUUGAACAGUUUUGCGAUACAUGGACUGUCUACUAAAGGAUUUUAAUAUUAGUAGUAAUACUUUGGAACCUAAUGCCCAUCUAAUGUUAAGAAAAGUAAGAAAAAAACAGAUGAAUUAUUUCAAUUAAAAGGAAAUAAUAGGAAUAGGAAAGGAGGUAGAGAAGUAGUUGUAUUCACAUUUUAUAGCUUUUAAAUUUUGUUUGCAGGAUAAUAGAGCGGCACCAAUGUUCCUUGAUGUUUUUGUGGCAUAAAUCUCUCUCAACUUUAUAUAUUCAUGGUCUGGUCUUUAGUAUGUGCCAUUAACUUUUUUCCCCACCUUAAUCAGAAAUGAUAAUUUCAGUGGUGAUG